rnacentral:rRNA from 1 species
AUUGAACGCUGGCGGCAUGCCUUACACAUGCAAGUCGAACGGCAGCACGGACUUCGGUCUGGUGGCGAGUGGCGAACGGGUGAGUAAUGUAUCGGAACGUACCUUUCAGUGGGGGAUAACGUAGCGAAAGUUACGCUAAUACCGCAUAUUCUGUGAGCAGGAAAGCAGGGGAUCGCAAGACCUUGCGCUGAUUGAGCGGCCGAUAUCAGAUUAGCUAGUUGGUGGGGUAAAGGCCUACCAAGGCUACGAUCUGUAGCGGGUCUGAGAGGAUGAUCCGCCACACUGGAACUGAGACACGGUCCAGACUCCUACGGGAGGCAGCAGUGGGGAAUUUUGGACAAUGGGGGCAACCCUGAUCCAGCCAUGCCGCGUGAGUGAAGAAGGCCUUCGGGUUGUAAAGCUCUUUCGGCCGGGAAGAAAUCGCAUAGGUUAAUACCCUGUGUGGAUGACGGUACCGGAAUAAGAAGCACCGGCUAACUACGUGCCAGCAGCCGCGGUAAUACGUAGGGUGCGAGCGUUAAUCGGAAUUACUGGGCGUAAAGCGUGCGCAGGCGGUUUCGUAAGACAGAGGUGAAAUCCCCGGGCUCAACCUGGGAACUGCCUUUGUGACUGCGAAGCUAGAGUACGGCAGAGGGGGGUGGAAUUCCACGUGUAGCAGUGAAAUGCGUAAAGAUGUGGAGGAACACCGAUGGCGAAGGCAGCCCCCUGGGCCGAUACUGACGCUCAUGCACGAAAGCGUGGGUAGCAAACAGGAUUAGAUACCCUGGUAGUCCACGCCCUAAACGAUGUCAACUAGGUGUUGGGUGGGUAAAACCAUUUAGUACCGUAGCUAACGCGUGAAGUUGACCGCCUGGGGAGUACGGCCGCAAGGUUAAAACUCAAAGGAAUUGACGGGGACCCGCACAAGCGGUGGAUGAUGUGGAUUAAUUCGAUGCAACGCGAAAAACCUUACCUACCCUUGACAUGUUCAGAAUCCCGGAGAGAUUUGGGAGUGCCCGAAAGGGAGCUGGAACACAGGUGCUGCAUGGCUGUCGUCAGCUCGUGUCGUGAGAUGUUGGGUUAAGUCCCGCAACGAGCGCAACCCUUGUCGUUAAUUGCCAUCAUUUAGUUGGGCACUUUAACGAGACUGCCGGUGACAAACCGGAGGAAGGUGGGGAUGACGUCAAGUCCUCAUGGCCCUUAUGGGUAGGGCUUCACACGUCAUACAAUGGUCGGUACAGAGGGUUGCCAAGCCGCGAGGUGGAGCCAAUCCCAGAAAGCCGAUCGUAGUCCGGAUUGCAGGCUGCAACUCGCCUGCAUGAAGUCGGAAUCGCUAGUAAUCGCGGAUCAGCAUGUCGCGGUGAAUACGUUCCCGGGUCUUGUACACACCGCCCGUCACACCAUGGGAGCGGGUUCCGCCAGAAGUAGGUAGCCUAACCGCAAGGGGGGCGCUUACCACGGCGGGGUUCGUGACUGGGGUGAAGUCGUAACAAGGUAGCCGUAGGGGAACC